CUCUGCGCAAGGGAUCUUUUGGUUCGCUAGACGAAGAAGGGCGCA
rnacentral:rRNA from 1 species